rnacentral:rRNA from 1 species
UAAGUAACCGGAGGAAAAGAAAUCAACCGAGAUUCCCUAAGUAGUGACGAGCGAACGGGGAGCAGCCCUUAAGCUGGAAUGGCUUUAGAAAAACAAUCUGGAAAGAUUGGCCAUAGAAGGUGAUAGCCCUGUAUUUAAAAGGGCCACUCCAGUGAAGACGAGUAGGGCGGGGCACGUGAAACCCUGUCUGAAUAUGGGGGGACCAUCCUCCAAGGCUAAAUACUCCUGACCGACCGAUAGUGAACCAGUACCGUGAG